CAGUCGCCACGGUAAAACGAGGGGUGCAAGCGUUAUUCGGAUUGAUUGGGUGUAAAGGGUGUGCAGACGGCUUAUUAAGUCACUCGUUAAAUUCUUCGGCCUAACUGAAGGUCUGCAAGUGAUACUGAUGAGCUAGAGGGUGGAAGAGAGAAGUGGAAUUCUCGGAGUAGCGGUAAAAUGCGUAGAUCUCGAGAGGAACACCAAUGGCGAAGGCAGCUUCUUGGUCCAUUCCUGACGUUCAUACACGAAAGCGUGGGGAGCAAACAGGAUUAGAUACCCCGGUAGUCCCUGUCUCUUUACA
rnacentral:rRNA from 1 species